rnacentral:rRNA from 1 species
CUAGUUGUACGCGCCAACGGUGACGAGUAGCAUACCGCUCAGUAACACGUAGCUAACCUACCCUUGGGACGGAGACACCCCCGGGAAACUGGGGACAAUACCCGAUAGGUGUGGAGGCCUGGAAUGGUUCCACGCUCAAAAGCACGGCGACCAUGUUUGUCGUGUGCCCAAGGAUGGGGCUGCGGCCGAUCAGGCAGUUGGCGAGGUAACGGCUCACCAAACCUGUGACCGGUACGGGCCAUGAGAGUGGUAGCCCGGAGAUGGACACUGAGACAGGGGUCCAGGCCCUACGGGGCGCAGCAGGCGCGAAAACUCCACAAUGUACUCAAGUACGAUGGGGUUAUCUCGAGUGCAGUCCGAUAAGGGCUGCUUUUCCAUAGAGUAGUAUCCUGUGGGAAUAAGAGGGGGGCAAGACUGGUGUCAGCCGCCGCGGUAACACCAGCCCCUCGAGUGGUGGGGACUUUUAUUUGGCCUAAAGCGUCCGUAGCCGGCUGUAGCCGUCACCCGUUAAAUCCAGCGUCUCAAGCGUUGGACUGCGGGUGAUACCCUACAGCUAGAGGGUGGGAGAGGUAAGCGGUAUUCCUGGGGUAGGGGCGAAAUCCUUUGAUCCCAGGAGGACCACCAGUGGCGAAGGCUGCUUACUAGAACACGCCUGACGGUCAGGGACGAAAGCUGGGGCAGCGAACCGGAUUAGAUACCCGGGUAGUCCCAGCUGUAAACGAUGCUCGCUAGGUNGUUGGGUCGGCCACGCGCCGCCCCAGUGCCGCAGGGAAGCCGUUAAGCGAGCCGCCUGGGGAGUACGGCCGCAAGGCUGAAACUUAAAGGAAUUGGCGGGGGAGCACCACCAGGCGUGAAGCUUGCGGUUUAAUUGGAGUCAACGCCGGG